GGGGAUGUGGUGCAACCUGGUAACAUUCAAGGUUUGGGACUUUGCGAUCUGGGUUCAAAUCCCAGCAUCCCCA
rnacentral:tRNA from 1 species